GUCGAACGGAGCUUAAAGAGCUUGCUUUUUAAGCUUAGUGGCGAACGGGUGACUAACGCGUGAGUAACCUGCCCUAGAGUGGGGGACAACAGUUGGAAACGACUGCUAAUACCGCAUAAGCCCACGGCUCGGCAUCGAGCAGAGGGAAAAGGAGCAAUCCGCUUUGAGAUGGCCUCGCGUCCGAUUAGCUAGUUGGUGAGGUAACGGCCCACCAAGGCGACGAUCGGUAGCCGGACUGAGAGGUUGAACGGCCACAUUGGGACUGAGACACGGCCUAGACUCCUACGGGAGGCAGCAGUGGGGAAUAUUGCACAAUGGGGGAAACCCUGAUGCAGCGACGCCGCGUGGAGGAAGAAGGUCUUCGGAUUGUAAACUCCUGUUGUUGAGGAAGAUAAUGACGGUACUCAACAAGGAAGUGACGGCUAACUACGUGCCAGCAGCCGCGGUAAAACGUAGGUCACAAGCGUUGUCCGGAAUUACUGGGUGUAAAGGGAGCGCAGGCGGGAGAACAAGUUGGAAGUGAAAUCCAUGGGCUCAACCCAUGAACUGCUUUCAAAACUGUUUUUCUUGAGUAGUGCAGAGGUAGGCGGAAUUCCCGGUGUAGCGGUGGAAUGCGU
rnacentral:rRNA from 1 species